rnacentral:misc_RNA from 1 species
GAAAUGCGAUAAGUAAUGUGAAUUGUAGAAUUCAGUGAAUCAUCGAAUCUUUGAACGCACAUUGCGCCCGGGAGCAUUCUCCCGGGCAUGCCUGUUCGAGCGUCAUUUCAACCCUCGACCUCCCCUUGGGGAGGCCGGCCGUUGGAGAUCGGCAGCGAUUGCCGGCUCCCAAAUUCAGUGGCGACCCGCCGCGGGGACCCCUGCGCAGUAACAUACACUCGCACCGGAAACCAGACGUGUCACGCCGUAAAACCCCAACUUUCUGAACGUUGACCUCGGAUCAGGUAGGAAUACCCGCUGAACUUAAGC